rfam:Viridibacillus arenosi FSL R5-213 Contig035, whole genome shotgun sequence.
GGGGACGUUACGGAUUCGACAGGGAUGGUCUGAGCUUGAGUUGCGCGUCGGAGGUCUCGGCUUCGUCAUCAACGGAAGUUAUAUAAUAACUGGCAAACAACAAAACAACUUAGCUUUCGCAGCGUAAGCUGAUGAAACUGCCUGUCUAUUCUAUCGCCCAUGUAGCAUAGCUCAGGCUCACUUAUAGUGGGAUACGGUUACUAGUGCCACUUGAGCUAGUAACAAGAGCUUCCCAAGUUAGCGCUCACGAUGCCUGCUUGCUGGCUAAUGAUGCGUGAAUCCUAAAUAGGCAAGAUACACGCGUAGAAGCUUGAGUAUUGGAGUUUCUGGACGCGGGUUCGACUCCCGCCGUCUCCAUAU